rnacentral:rRNA from 1 species
UAGGGAAUAUUGGUCAAUGGACGCAAGUCUGAACCAGCCAUGCCGCGUGAAGGAAGACGGCCCUACGGGUUGUAAACUUCUUUUGUACGGGAAAAAACCACCGGUCGUGAACCGGUGCUGAUGGUACCGUAAGAAUAAGCAUCGGCUAACUCCGUGCCAGCAGCCGCGGUAAUACGGAGGAUGCAAGCGUUAUCCGGAUUCGUUGGGUUUAAAGGGUGCGCAGGCGGAAUGAUAAGUCAGUGGUGAAAUCCUACGGCUCAACUGUAGAACUGCCAUUGAUACUGUCGUUCUUGAGUACACUUGGAGUGGGCGGAAUGUGUCAUGUAGCGGUGAAAUGCUUAGAUAUGACACAGAACACCGAUCGCGAAGGCAGCUCACUAAGCUAAAACUGACGCUCAUGCACGAAAGCGUGGGGAGCAAACA